GAUGAACGCUAGCUACAGGCUUAACACAUGCAAGUCGAGGGGCAGCAUGGUCUUAGCUUGCUAAGGCCGAUGGCGACCGGCGCACGGGUGAGUAACACGUAUCCAACCUGCCGUCUACUCUUGGACAGCCUUCUGAAAGGAAGAUUAAUACAAGAUGGCAUCAUGAGUCCGCAUGUUCACAUGAUUAAAGGUAUUCCGGUAGACGAUGGGGAUGCGUUCCAUUAGAUAGUAGGCGGGGUAACGGCCCACCUAGUCUUCGAUGGAUAGGGGUUCUGAGAGGAAGGUCCCCCACAUUGGAACUGAGACACGGUCCAAACUCCUACGGGAGGCAGCAGUGAGGAAUAUUGGUCAAUGGGCGAGAGCCUGAACCAGCCAAGUAGCGUGAAGGAUGACUGCCCUAUGGGUUGUAAACUUCUUUUAAUAAAGGAAUAAAGUCGGGUAUGGAUACCCGUUUGCAUGUACUUUAUGAAUAAGGAUCGGCUAACUCCGUGCCAG
rnacentral:rRNA from 1 species